UACGUAGGGGGCUAGCGUUGUCCGGAUUUAUUGGGCGUAAAGAGCUCGUAGGCGGCUCGGUAAGUCGGAUGUGAAAACUCGGGGCUCAACCCCGAGACGCCAUCCGAUACUGCUGUGGCUUGAGUCUGGUAGGGGAGAACGGAAUUCCUGGUGUAGCGGUGAAAUGCGCAGAUAUCAGGAGGAACACCGGUGGCGAAGGCGGUUCUCUGGGCCAGUACUGACGCUGAGGAGCGAAAGCGUGGGUAGCAAACAGG
rnacentral:rRNA from 1 species